rnacentral:rRNA from 1 species
UACGUAGGGACCGAGCGUUGUCCGGAUUCAUUGGGCGUAAAGAGCUCGUAGGCGGCUGCUCAAGUCGAAUGUGAAAACUCGAGGCUCAACCUCGAGCCUGCAUUCGAUACUGGGCGGCUAGAGUCUGGUAGGGGGAUCUGGAAUUCCUGGUGUAGCGGUGGAAUGCGCAGAUAUCAGGAGGAACGACCGGUGGCGAAGGCGGGAUCCUGGGCCAGUACUGACGCUGAGGAGCGAAAGCGUGGGGAGCAAACAGG